rnacentral:rRNA from 1 species
UACAGAGGUCUCAAGCGUUGUUCGGAUUCAUUGGGCGUAAAGGGUGCGUAGGUGGCGCGCUAAGUCAGGUGUGAAAUUUCGGAGCUUAACUCCGAAACUGCAUUUGAUACUAGCGUGCUUGAGGACUGGAGAGGAGACUGGAAUUCAUGGUGUAGCAGUGAAAUGCGUAGAGAUCAUGAGGAAGACCAGUGGCGAAGGCGGGUCUCUGGACAGUUCCUGACACUGAGGCACGAAGGCCAGGGGAGCAAACGGG